rnacentral:rRNA from 1 species
CGAACGGUCGAGUAACGCGUAAGCAAUCUGCCCAGAAGCGGGGGAUAAGCCACCGAAAGGUGGGGUAAUACCGCAUACCUUCACAGGAUGAUGUUUUGUGAAGAAAGAUUUAUCACUUCUGGAGGAGCUUGCGUCCUAUCAGCUAGUCGGUGGGGUAACGGCCUACCGAGGCGACGACGGGUAGCGGGUCUGAGAGGACGAUCCGCCGGACUGGGACUGAGACACGGCCCAG